rnacentral:lncRNA from 1 species
CACAAAGGGAUUAAAGAGUGUCACUCUCACAGCACAGCUAAGAACACGGACAACAGGGGCAGCAGUUACCUGCCAGGCUGGGGGACGUGGCAGAAAAGGUCCUUGCCUUGAGGAAGUUCGAGUCUAGCAGAGGAGAAAAUCAAGAAACAACGCCAAAUGCAUUAUGUCUGAGUGGAAGGUCCUCUGGGAAGCACCCAGGGCACAGGAACACAGUGUCUACUUCUCACCAAAGGAGCCCUCUCCUAUAUCCAGGCUGCAGCUCUCUUACAGCGCAUGCAGAGUCCCCCAGAGGAUGAAGGAGAAGCAAACCUCUUCUGCCCUCGCCUGCCAAAGAAAUCAAUCACACAGCCCCAGAGAGCGCAGCAUCUUAUACCAUUGUGCACUCCUGAGCAUAGAAAGCACAGCUUCCCUGCAUGGAGUAAGCAGGGUCUGUGUUUUCCUCCUACCUCCUGUAGGGUACAUCUGGCCCACAGCUCCCCCAUACUGUUUGUAAAACUUGCAUUAGGCACGUACACUAUGUUUUGAAUGGUGAAGGGCAUGGCCAACAAUAAUCUUGGGACUGGCUCUGUUCUGCUCAUCUAGAGGGCAGGGUUCGUAUGUGAAGCUCCCCUUCACCCAGUCUGCUCUGCUCUUUGUCUCUUAGGAAGCCAAGAUCAUUGCCUUUUAACCUUUGCUCUCAACACACACAUUCCUGGAAUCUCUUCCAAGUUCUUUCUAAAUUCUACCACCUCUUUUUUUGUUGCUAUUAUUAUUAUUAUUAUUAUUAUUAUUAUUAUUAUUAUUAUAUUUACUACUAUUAUUUUAUAUGUAUGAUGUUUUUCCUGCAUGUAUUUAUGUGCACCAUGUGCACACCCCGUAUCCAAUGAGGUCAGAACUGGGUAUCAGAUUCCCCAGAACUGCAGUUGCGGAUGGCUCUGAGCUGCUAUGUGGGCACAAGGAUGAACACAGGGCAAGCUUUCAUGGCUCUCAAGAAAGCUGGUUGAAACCAAGUUCAUAGCCCUAGUCUAUCUGUCUGUCUGUCUGUCUGUCUGUCUGUCUGUCUGGACAGCUGUCUGUCUAGGUCAUUCUAGGUUGUAGAAAUCAUACCAAAGACCUGCAUCCUGGUGGCACACAGAAGUGGGCAGAUCUUGAGGCCAGCUUUGUCUACAGAAUGAGUUUCAGAACAGCCAAGGCUACACAGAGAAACCCUGUCUCCAACCUCCCACUACCUACCUGAAGUAAUAGCAAGACGACUUCAUCCCUCUGUAUCUUUGGAAACUCUGUGACUGGGUGCACACACACACACACACACACACACAC